rnacentral:rRNA from 1 species
UACGAAGGGUGCGAACGUUGCUCGGAAUUAUUGGGCGUAAAGCGCACGUAGGCGGCUUUGCAAGUCGGAUGUGAAAUCCCUCAGCUCAACCAAGGAAGUGCAUCCGAAACUGCAGAGCUUGAGUACCAAAGAGGAUCGCGGAAUUCCCGGUGUAGAGGUGAAAUUCGUAGAUAUCGGGAGGAACACCAGUGGCGAAGGCGGCGAUCUGGGUGGAUACUGACGCUGAGGUGCGAAAGCGUGGGGAGCAAACAGG